rnacentral:sRNA from 1 species
ACCCUGAAAGUUUGCAGAUGCUUCUUCCCACCACCACGUGCGGAUGGGAGCCCCUGUUCUCCCAGAUUUUCAGGCAGAGCCAUGCUUAGAAAAUAUAAGAAACCAUGCUCUAUUGCUCAGUACCACUGAUGUCCCCACUUCUGAAAGUGCUACAGUGACCAGUGCUACGUUUCCUGCACCGAUCAAGAGCUCUCCAUGUGAGCUCCGAAUGUCCUGGCUCAUUCGUGGAGUCUUGAGGGGAAACGUGUCCUUGGUGCUAGUGGAGAACAAAACCGGGAAGGAGCAAGGCAGGAUGGUCUGGCAUGUCGCCGCCUAUGAAGGCUUGAGCCUGUGGCAGUGGACGGUGUUGCCUCUCCUCGAUGUGUCUGACAGCUAUGCUGAGCAUUGAUCACGCUUCUUCUCCACAAAGCCUCAUAACUCACGGCUGAAAUCAAUUCCAGGUUCUAUUCUAAGAGCCCCAGAUCUCAUACACAAAGAUUCUGAUUCACAGUUGACAUAUUGGGACCAGGAAUCUGUAUUUUUCAAAGUUCCCCAGUUGACUUUCAUGCGUAACCACAUUU